UAUAUUUUUCUUUAAUUCAUUAUCUCAAAUAUUUUCCCUUAUUUAUAUAUAAUAAAAAAUCCUUUCAGGUGCUCCGUAAUAAUGUACACUCCAGUUACCUCAAUCAACAACUUGAUCCCAUUUCUUUACAAAUUCACUACUAGCAAGCUAAUUAGCAGCUGCUGUAUUCUGUACAAAAAUAAUUAAUUAAUUGAGUGACUAUAUAAUCUGCUCCUGAGGCAUUACACUAACAGUACAAGUUAAACACAAAACAUAUUUAAAAAGUAGUUCCGGUUACUUUCACCUGGGAAGAUUCUAUGAUUUACUACAAUAGAGACAAACAAGCAUGUAUUAUUCCCUCUGAAAAUCUAGUGCCAUUUGAAAAUUGUCAAAUAUGCACAUUUCUAUUAAAAAAUGUUUUACACAAGUGUUAGGAAAAGACACAUUGUGGGAAUGUCUUCUUAAAGUUGGUUUUAACAUGGAAAAUGUGUUCCACAUAAUUUAACAUAUAAAAGCUUCCCAUUUCUUUACAUAAUUGGAAACAAGCAAAGGAAAGUAAGAAAAGGAAACAAAGGAAAGCUUCAACAAAAAAUACAUUAAGUAAGAUUGUAAGUACAGUUAGUAAGAUUGGACAAGAUGGGGGACAAUGCAAUUCCACUGAAUUGUACCUGUGAAAAAUAAUUUUGCCUUAAUACACUGGUGACAAAUUAGUAUGUAUUCUUCCAUUUGGAAAACUAAAGCCAUUUAUAAUAUAAUUCUAUAAAAAUGCAUAUUUGGCAUAUAUAUAUAUAUAUAUAUAUAUAUUUACUGUAAUUUAUAAAUAAGUGUGUUAAUCAUCUAGUAAUAUGAUACAGAUCUGCACAAUACAGCUAAUACAGUAACAGUAAAUGAGAUUAGACAGGAUGGGGGAAAAUGUAGUUCCCCUAAAUUUUACCUGUAAAAACUCCUUUUGCUUUUAACACACUUGUGGUGUAUAUAUGUUUCCAUCUGAAAAAUAGUGUCAUUUAUAGUUUAACAAAAAUACAUACUUGGCAUACAAAUCUUCUCUGCAGCCAGUACACUAAUAUUUAUUUGUAGAUUUAGCUUCUUUUCUCUUGUGAAAACUUCAUGUGUUUACCACACUAGUACCAAAUUAGCAAAUGUUCUUCCCUCUGGAAAAGCAGUGACAUUUAAAAUUCAAUCUCACGAGUGUUGGGGUUGAACAGACUUGUAAAAGCUGUUCUUAUGAAAUUUUAAUCACGAAAAAGUAGUUCUGGUUACUUUCACCUUACUUCUGCUUGCUUCUUCUUUCUGGUGUUGAUGUCAAGUCUGUAAAAAGGUCAUAUAUUUUACUACACUACUGGUAAAAAUAUAAGUAUAUAUUCCCUCUAAAAAAACAUAGUUUUAAUACAAAACAAAAGAAAAUGUAUACCCUUUACCUUAUAAAAUACAUAUUUUCCGUACACACUUUACAUGCAUGUUAUAAUUACAUGCAUUGUUUCAAGCUAGUUUUGAGUUGAUUAUUAGUUAUAAUUCAAGAAGUAUAACACAGUUGUUGUUCAGGGUAACUGAUCGUACACUAAAGAUCAGAGAGAGAUCAGAUUGGAAAACACUGGAAACAUUCCUGUUACAUAACAGUUACAUAACAUAACUGUAGUAACUGCAGGACAAGAGCAUUAAAGAAGUGUUAAAGAGCAGAUACGUGCUCUGUAGAAGCGUGCGUGUAUUAUUAAUAUGCUAAAUUAUAUUAUUGCAGGGAUGUUGGUGGGAAUGAAAGGGCAGAGUAACUAAAACACACAUAAUUAUUAUUAUUAUUAUUGUAAUUCUUGUUAUUGUGAGUAAUGUAUGUGAAUGAUGGGGCAUUGUGCUGAGAGCGUAGUGAGUAUAGAGGAUGAAUGUACUGUGUAGCGAUGUUGCGCGAAUGUGCUUUUGUGACGCUGCUUGUUUGCUGUAAUGGAUUUCAGCGGGAUUCAAAGCUAGCUGAAGUUAUGUGUUAGCAUUAUGCAAAUGAGAUUAUGCUAACAAGCCACUGUUAGCUUUCUUCUGAGCAUUUCUGGGUGGAGCGCUCCUGUAACGUUUCUGCUUGCUGCUGUUCAGUUAUUGUUACAGAGCUGACUGAGUGAAUACCUUACUGACGACUUUUAUAUGUAGCAUUUAUAUCCCACCAUGAUCUCUUUCUCCCUUUCUUUCUCUCUCUCUCUUUCUCUGCAAGUAUUUCUUUCUGUCUUUCAGUAGGUCUGUCUACAGGUCUGUCUUUCUCAUUAUAAACCAGUUUCAUUUAGGGUCUAUUUCUGUAGAUCUGUUUCUCUCUCUAAUAUUAUGUGUUUCCCUCUUCCUUUGUCUCUCGUUCUUUUUUUCUAAAUCUCUCUUUUUUCUCUCUCUCUCUCGCAUUAUGUCUCUCCCUUUCCUUUUAUUUUAAUCUCUCUCCCUCUCCAACUCCCAGUAUUUCUUUCUGUCAUUUCGUAGGUCUAUCAUUAGGUAUCAGCCUCUCAGUAUCUGUCUUUCUCUUCAUAAACUGGUUUCUGUCUGUUUUUUGCUCAUUUUUUUUCUAUGGAUCUAUUUGUAUCUCUCUUUUUGCUUUGGUUAUAUCUUUCUUUCUGUAUUUCUCUCAGUUUUGUCUCUUUUAGUUUUUGUCUCAUUCUGUUUCUAUAAAUCUCUCUUUAUCUCUUUUCUCUCUUGCAGUAUGUCACUCCCUUUCUUUUUCCUCUAAAUCUAUCUCUCUUCAUAUCUCUUUCUGUAUCUCACUCAGUAUCUCUUUCUUUCUUAGUUUUUGUCUGUCAUUAUUUUUCUCUAAAUCUCUCUCUUUUCUCUCUCGCAGUGUGUAUCUCCCUUUCCUUUUCGUUUAAUGUCUCUCUCUCUUUGAGUCUUAGUCAUUCUCUUUUUUUUUCCCUAAAUAAAUAUUUUUUCUUCAAUUCAAUUCAGAGAAGCUUUAUUGGCAGGACCACAGUAAAUGACAGUGUUGCCAAAGCAUUGAUUGAUUAAUUAAUUAAAUAAUUAAAUAAUUAUUGAAAACAUCAGUUAACAUCAGUGCAUACAUAAACAGUUCAUUAAGGUUAAUUGGACAUUAGUUACCAUUGUAAUUGUCUGUUUGGAUAUCUGGGUAAAUUAUAUUGAAAAAAUAUGAUCUAUAUAAUAGUUAUUUUAUCUCUCUUUCUGUAUCUCUCUUAGUAGGUCUGUCUGCAUGUCUCACUUUCUCUGUAUGUCUCUCUCUGUGUUGUAGACUUUAUCUUUUUUACUGUUUCCCUUUUAUAAACUCUCUCUCUCUCUCUCUCUCUCUCUCUAUCUCCCAGUAUGUCUCUCCCUCUCCCUUUGUUUCUGUCUGUCUUUGUUUUUUUUUCACUUGUUAUUUCUCUCUUUUUCUCUCUCUCUAUCUCUCUCUCCUCUCCUCUCCCUUUUUGUUUCUUACUCAGCGUUUAUUUCACUUCAUCUUUCUUUCUGCAAUCCUCUUUCUCUCUCUUUUUUGUUCUCUCUUUUUUUACAUAAUUUUGUUUAAGAGGUUAUACACACAAACACAGUCUAACAUCCUCUACAGAAACACUCUUCUGCACAUUUUUUACACAACUACUGUUCAUUCACUCAAUUUAUCAUUUACAAAAACAAUACAACAUAAUACAUUAUAUAUUAAGAUUAUGUUAAAUGUAUUGUUUUUUUGUGUGUGUCUAAAUUCAGUUUAUAAAUGAAAAUGGAGCCUAAAAUGAGCAGAAACUAAGAUCUAUACUAUAAGAUCUAUACUAUCAUUUACACUCAGAACAUUAACAGCCUGUCCUCUGUUUCCGUUGGUUGUUAUUUUAACUGUUGUUAGAUGUGUGUUUAUUUUAUUGAUUGUAUUAUUAAUCUGAAUAAACAGAGUUGCUGGA